AUGAUUGAAGGGGAUUUUCAACUCUUUGAAGGAAAAUGGUCUAUUUCACAGUUGUUCAGCAGUGGAAGUGACGAGUCUCCAGUACGAGAGAUUAGCACAACACUUUCGUACAUUGUUGAUGUUAAGCCGAAGAUGUGGUUGCCCGUUGGGCUCAUAGAGGGUAGACUUUGUAAAGAGAUAAAAAAGAACCUUAUAUCCAUAAGGGGCGAAGCUCAGAAAGCUAUUGACAGAACCGUGGAUGUAAAUCAAUUCGGAUGA